GUGCCAGCAGCCGCGGUAAUACGUAGGUGGCAAGCGUUGUCCGGAUUUACUGGGCGUAAAGGAUGUGUAGGCGGAUAUUUAAGUGAGAUGUGAAAUCCCCGGGCUUAACUUGGGUGCUGCAUUUCAAACUGGAUGUCUAGAGUGCAGGAGAGGAAGGCAGAAUUCCUAGUGUAGCGGUGAAAUGCGUAGAGAUUAGGAAGAAUACCGGUGGCGAAGGCGGUUUGCUGGACUGAAACUGAC
rnacentral:rRNA from 1 species